ensembl:lncRNA
GAAAGGGCCUCAGAGCGUUCCACCACCACGGCUGUGGGAAAGACCCGCUCCCGCGGCUCCCUCAUAGGUCAUGCUCUCCGCGUCGCACAAGAUGGGAUCAGAAGUGGUCCGAGAAAUAUGCACGCUGUAGUGGGACAGGCACUGAAGAAGGAAACACCGGGGUUACCCAGCAGAACUCUUGGAUGAAUAUCAAUGUUUUGAUCCCCCUUUAAAGAAAGUAACCACAGCUAUCCCAGGGAUGAAUUCCAACAUAGCCCGUGGCGGCCAUCGGAGCGGGAGCUGAUCAGACCGUUGGUUAUCUUCCCACACAUCUGCCUGAGAUAGAGACUUGUGGAAAGGAACCAGAGUGGCUUAAGCAGUUCUGAAACAGUGGAACAAAUACAGAAGCCAUGUCCACGGGGACUACACAGCUGUGGUCAUC